rnacentral:rRNA from 1 species
AUUUCCUACGGGGGCAGCAGUAGGGAAUUUUCGUCAAUGGGCGCAAGCCUGAACGAGCAAUGCCGCGUGAACGAGGAAGGUCUUCGGAUCGUAAAGUUCUGUUGAAGGGGAAAAAGAGCGGAGAGAGGAAAUGAACUCCGAUUGAUAUUACCCUUCGAGGAAGUCACGGCUAACUACGUGCCAGCAGCCGCGGUAAUACGUAGGUGGCGAGCGUUAUCCGGAAUGAUUGGGCGUAAAGGGUGCGUAGGCGGCCUGCUAAGUCUGGAGUGAAAGGAACCGGCUCACCCGGUACAGGCUCUGGUACC